UGAUGACUUGUAAGCAGCUCACUAUAUUUUAAUACCGAACUAUCUAAGUUUCUAACUUAGUGACUGAAAGAUACUAGGUGCAGUCAAGUACUUAUCAAGUCGGUGUAUGAGUCAAGAUGAAAUUGAUCCUUCUGAAUUGGUAGGAGAUAUGCAUCAGUGUAUUUUAAUUUAGCAAAACCUUGGCCAGGAUAAUCCAUAAGAUGGAUUUGAAAGGUUGAAAUAUAAUAUGGUCGAUU
rnacentral:lncRNA from 1 species